rnacentral:rRNA from 1 species
AUUGAACGCUGGCGGCAGGCCUAACACAUGCAAGUCGAACGAGUGGCGGACGGGUGAGUAAUGUCUGGGAAACUGCCUGAUGGAGGGGGAUAACUACUGGAAACGGUAGCUAAUACCGCAUACCCUCAGAUGUGCCCAGCUGGGAUUAGCUGGUUGGUGGGGAAUCGGCUCACCAAGGCGACGAUCCCUAGCUGGUCUGAGAGGAUGACCGGCCACACUGGACCUGAGACACGGUCCAGACUCCUACGGGAGGCAGCAGUGGGGAAUAUUGCACAAUGGGCGCAAGCCUGAUCCAGCCAUGCCGCUGGUGUGAAGAAGGUCUUCGGAUUGUAAGGCACUUUAAGUUGGGAGGCGUUACCAACAGAAUAAGCAACGGCUAACUUCGUGCCAGCCGCCGCGGUAAUUC